CCUACGGGAGGCAGCAGUGGGGAAUAUUGCGCAAUGGGCGAAAGCCUGACGCAGCGACGCCGCGUGAGGGAUGACGGCCUUCGGGUUGUAAACCUCUUUCAGCAGGGAAGAAGCGAAAGUGACGGUACCUGCAGAAGAAGCACCGGCUAACUACGUGCCAGCAGCCGCGGUAA
rnacentral:rRNA from 1 species